rnacentral:rRNA from 1 species
AACGAACGCUGGCGGCAGGCCUAACACAUGCAAGUCGAGCGCCCCGCAAGGGGAGCGGCGGACGGGUGAGUAACACGUGGGAAUUUUCCUCAAGGUACGGAACAACUCAGGGAAACUUGGGCUAAUACCGUAUGAUGCAGAGAUGCCAAAGAUUUAUCGCCUUGGGAUAAGCCCGCGUCAGAUUAGGUAGUUGGUGGGGUAAUGGCCUACCAAGCCUGUGAUCUGUAGCUGGUCUGAGAGGACGAUCAGCCACAUUGGGACUGAGACACGGCCCAAACUCCUACGGGAGGCAGCAGUGGGGAAUCUUGCGCAAUGGACGAAAGUCUGACGCAGCCAUGCCGCGUGAAUGAUGAAGGUCUUAGGAUUGUAAAGUUCUUUUAGCCUGUGACGAUGAUGACGGUAAC